rnacentral:rRNA from 1 species
AUUGAACGCUGGCGGCAGGCCUAACACAUGCAAGUCGAACGGUAACAGGAAGACGCUUGCUUCUUUGCUGACGAGUGGCGGACGGGUGAGUAAUGUCUGGGAAACUGCCUGAUGGAGGGGGAUAACUACUGGAAACGGUAUCUAAUACCGCAUAACGUCGCAAGACCAAAGAGGGGGACCUUCGGGCCUCUUGCCAUCGGAUGUGCCCAGAUGGGAUUAGCUAGUAGGUGGGGUAACGGCUCACCUAGGCGACGAUCCCUAGCUGGUCUGAGAGGAUGACCAGCCACACUGGAACUGAGACACGGUCCAGACUCCUACGGGAGGCAGCAGUGGGGAAUAUUGCACAAUGGGCGCAAGCCUGAUGCAGCCAUGCCGCGUGUAUGAAGAAGGCCUUCGGGUUGUAAAGUACUUUCAGCGGGGAGGAAGGGAGUAAAGUUAAUACCUUGACUCAUUGACGUUACCCGCAGAAGAAGCACCGGCUAACUCCGUG